UACGGCGAGUGAGAGGGUAGAGCCCAGAUUGAAAGCUGGCGCCUUCGGCGUCCGCAUUGUAAUCUCAAGAAGUGUUUUCCGCUUCGGACCAUGCCUAAGUCCCUUGGAAAAGGGCAUCAUAGAGGGUGAUAAUCCCGUACAUGGCAUGGAGCGCCCGAAGCUUUGUGAUACGCUUUCUAAGAGUCGAGUUGUUUGGGAAUGCCGCUCAAAAUGGGUGGUAAAUGCCAUCUAAGGCUAAAUAUUGGGGAGAGACCGAUAGCGAACAAGUACAGUGAUGGAAAGAUGAAAAGAACUUUGAAAAGAGAGUUAAACAGUACGUGAAAUUGCCAAAAGGGAAGGGUAGGAGGUCAGAGAUGCGUCGCAGGAUUCAGCCUUGCUUUUGCUUGGUGUUUUUCCUGCGUUGCAGGCCAACGUCGGUUUUGGGCACUGGAGAAGGGUAGGAGGAACGUGGCACCUCUCGGGGUGUGUUAUAGCCUCCUACUGGAUACAGCGACCGAGACCGAGGACAGCAGCGUACUCGCAAGAGCGGGCCUUCGGGCACCUUUACGCUUAUGGCGUUGGCAUAAUGGCCCUCUACCACCCGUCUUGA
rnacentral:rRNA from 1 species